GCGAACGCUGGCGGCAGGCUUAACACAUGCAAGUCGAGCGGGCGUAGCUAAUACGUCAGCGGCAGACGGGUGAGUAACGCGUGGGAACGUACCUUUUGGUUCGGAACAACACAGGGAAACUUGUGCUAAUACCGGAUAAGCCCUUACGGGGAAAGAUUUAUCGCCGAAAGAUCGGCCCGCGUCUGAUUAGCUAGUUGGUGGGGUAACGGCCCACCAAGGCGACGAUCAGUAGCUGGUCUGAGAGGAUGAUCAGCCACAUUGGGACUGAGACACGGCCCAAACUCCUACGGGAGGCAGCAGUGGGGAAUAUUGGACAAUGGGCGCAAGCCUGAUCCAGCCAUGCCGCGUGAGUGAUGAAGGCCCUAGGGUUGUAAAGCUCUUUUGUGCGGGAAGAUAAUGACGGUACCGCAAGAAUAAGCCCCGGCUAACUUCGUGCCAGCAGCCGCGGUAAUACGAAGGGGGCUAGCGUUGUUCGGAAUCACUGGGCGUAAAGGGUGCGUAGGCGGGUCUUUAAGUCAGGGGUGAAAUCCUGGAGCUCAACUCCAGAACUGCCUUUGAUACUGAAGAUCUUGAGUUCGGGAGAGGUGAGUGGAACUGCGAGUGUAGAGGUGAAAUUCGUAGAUAUUCGCAAGAACACCAGUGGCGAAGGCGGCUCACUGGCCCGAUACUGACGCUGAUGCACGAAAGCGUGGGGAGCAAACAGGAUUAGAUACCCUGGUAGUCCACGCCGUAAACGAUGAAUGCCAGCCGUUGGUGGGUUUACUCAUCAGUGGCGCAGCUAACGCUUUAAGCAUUCCGCCUGGGGAGUACGGUCGCAAGAUUAAAACUCAAAGGAAUUGACGGGGGCUCGCACAAGCGGUGGAGCAUGUGGUUUAAUUCGACGCAACGCGCAGAACCUUACCAGCCCUUGACAUGUCUGGGACCGGUCGCAGAGAUGUGACCUUCUCUUCGGAGCCCGGAACACAGGUGCUGCAUGGCUGUCGUCAGCUCGCGUCGUGAGAUGUUGGGUUAAGUCCCGCAAUGAGCGCAACCCCCGUCCUUAGUUGCUACCAUUUAGUUGAGCACUCUAAGGAGACUGCCGGUGAUAAGCCGCGAGGAAGGUGGGGAUGACGUCAAGUCCUCAUGGCCCUUACGGGCUGGGCUACACACGUGCUACAAUGGCGGUGACAAUGGGAAGCGAAGACGCAAGUCCUAGCAAAUCUCAAAAAACCGUCUCAGUUCGGAUUGGGCUCUGCAACUCGAGCCCAUGAAGUUGGAAUCGCUAGUAAUCGUGGAUCAGCACGCCACGGUGAAUACGUUCCCGGGCCUUGUACACACCGCCCGUCACACCAUGGGAGUUGGCUUUACCUGAAGGCGGUGCGCUAACCAGCAAUGGAGGCAGCCGACCACGGUAGGGUCAGCGACUGGGGUG
rnacentral:rRNA from 1 species